rnacentral:rRNA from 1 species
AGUGAACGCUGGCGGUAGGCCUAACACAUGCAAGUCGAACGGCAGCACAGUAAGAGCUUGCUCUUACGGGUGGCGAGUGGCGGACGGGUGAGGAAUACAUCGGAAUCUACUUUUUCGUGGGGGAUAACGUAGGGAAACUUACGCUAAUACCGCAUACGACCUACGGGUGAAAGCAUGGGAUCUUCGGACCUUGCGCGAUUGAAUGAGCCGAUGUCGGAUUAGCUAGUUGGCGGGGUAAAGGCCCACCAAGGCGACGAUCCGUAGCUGGUCUGAGAGGAUGAUCAGCCACACUGGAACUGAGACACGGUCCAGACUCCUACGGGAGGCAGCAGUGGGGAAUAUUGGACAAUGGGCGCAAGCCUGAUCCAGCCAUACCGCGUGGGUGACGAAGGCCUUCGGGUCGUAAAGCCCUUUUGUUGGGAAAGAACAGCAGCAGGUUAAUACCCCGCUGUUCUGACGGUACCCAAAGAAUAAGCACCGGCUAACUUCGUG